UUUCUUCAUCUCAGAGCCCAGUCCUGGGACAGGCAUGGCCAAGCCACUCAGAGAACGACACGGUUUCCGAUGUGUGUCCACUGGUCUCUCUCUGGGUCAGGCCUCUAGGUCCCUCUUGUUCCAGUGACAUCUUCUUGACCUGUUUUUAACAAAUGGCCUUUGCAACCCUGUCUUGUCUUCCCUCUUCUUUUCUCUGGAGGCGUCAGGAUGGUAGCCCUGUCCCCGGGGGCAGCAGGUGGAAUUGGGCCUGUGUGUCUCUGCAGAAAGUUUCUGUUCUUAACUGGGCUUUGUGGCUCACGCCUCUAAUCCCAGCACUUUGGGAGGCUGAGGCGGACAGAUCGCUGGAGCCCAGGAGUUCAAGACCAGCCUGGGCAACAGUGAGACCUGCUCUCUACAAAAAAUGUAGAAAUUAGCCAGGCAUGGUGGCGCAUGCCUGUGGUCCCAGCUACUUGGGAGGCGAAGGCUGCAGAGAGCUGAGAUCACACCAUUGCACUCUGGCCUGGGCGACAGAGUGGAGACCCUGUCUCAAACAAAAAAAAGUUUCUGUUCUUUUCUAGCUCAAAAGCCAAAAGUCUCUGAGAACGACUUUGAAGAUCUGUUGUCCAAUCAAGGCUUCUCCUCCAGGUCUGACAAGAAAGGGCCAAAGACCAUUGCAGAGAUGAGGAAGCAGGACCUGGCUAAAGACAUGGACCCGCUCAAGCUGAAGGUGGGUGGGUGGGCAGCUCUUCCUGGGAGCCCAGAGGCCUCAACCCAUGGCCCCUGGAGCAUCUGCUGUGCCUUACGGAGCGGGCGUCUCCAGCCAGGGACCUGUCACCCCUGGAGCAUCUCCUGUACCGCACGGAGCCGGCGUCUCCAGCCAGGGACCUGUCACUGCCGAUGGGCCUGGCAGCCCUCCAGGACAGGGUGGCCUGAGGCCUGGGGGGCAGGGCAGAGUCAGGCCCCAGGCCGUGCUGCUCCCCAUGUACCCAGAUGGCUCAGCGCUGGUGGGGGCAGGGUGGGCGGGCAUUACAGGAGUGAGUGCCCCUGGGGUGUCUGCAGAGACUGUUGAGGGCAGGCGUCUCCUGGGGCUGCUCUGGGUACUGAGCCUCCCAACCCAGGACGCUCACUGGGGGGUGAGGAUGCGGCGGUCAGGGUGUCACUGUGCCGGCCCUGAGACACGCCCUCCAGCUCUGCAGGCCACGUGUGCCUGUGACCUUGGGGUCCUUUCACAGGCACCAGGGACCAUCCCCUUCUCCCUCUGAGUCUGGGGCCUGGGAUGGGCCGAGGGGUUGCACCACCAGAACCAGGGUUUGUGUCCCCGGUGAACAUCUGGCUGAGACGAGGGUCCCUCUGGCCCCAGGCCCUGGAACAUGAAGGCCACCUGGCCCUGUGUCGUCCGGAGUGGGCUCUGUAUAGUUGAGGGCAGGGCGUGCAGUGGGACAGUGUCUGUGAGCCGGGCUGAGCCCACUCCACGUGACCAGGCACUUCCUCAGCGUCGUGCCUCAGUUUCCGCGGUGCAGAGGAGGAGGGCAGGCAGGGGCCCAGGGCUCAGCAAGCUCCGUGUCUCCCGCAGCUCCUGGACUGGAUUGAAGGCAAGGAGCGGAACAUCCGGGCCCUGCUGUCCACGCUGCACACAGUGCUGUGGGACGGGGAAAGCCGCUGGACGCCCGUGGGCAUGGCCGACCUGGUGGCUCCGGAGCAGGUGAAGAAGCACUAUCGCCGUGCGGUGCUGGCCGUGCACCCCGACAAGGCCGCAGGGCAGCCGUACGAGCAGCACGCCAAGAUGAUCUUCAUGGAGCUGAACGACGCCUGGUCGGAGUUUGAGAACCAGGGCUCCCGGCCCCUCUUCUGAGGCUGCAGUGGUGGUGGCUGUGCACACAGCUCCACAGGUCGGGAGCCGUCGUGAGACCCAGGUCCCCACUGUGAGGACCCCGUGGGCGACGGCAGGUGUGGCCAGGGUGGGGCUCCGAGCCCCGAGUCGCCGCCCGCCGAGCAUUCCAGGCACAUGAAGAGAAAGCAUUCCAAAGCCUCUGAUUGUUGUUUCCUUUUUCUCCUCCCGAAGGAACAGCUGAUUCAUGCUCCUCCCACAAUUGUUACGUCUGUGAUUUAUUUGGUGUUUCCGGCGUGGCCUCUGGAGCGCCGGCACGUGGUGGGCCACGCUGCUGGCGCUCAUGGGCCCUGGUGUUUGCACCGCACUUUGUAAUCAGUCCCGUGGUUGUCUGUACAGAAUUAAACUAUUUUCCGAUGAC
rnacentral:sRNA from 1 species